ensembl:lncRNA
AUGGGGAGACCCCCCCCCAUAAUAAGAUAUGGGGGGACCCCUCCCCAUAGAGAUCUAUGGGGGGACCCCUCCCCACGGAUAAAGGGGGGGGACACCUCAAAAUUGGGGGGGGGGUUUGCCCAAAAUCGGGGGUUUUUCCCCCAAAAUGGGGGGAUCUGACCCCAAAAAUGGGGGGGUCCCCAGUAUGGGGGGGCUGGUCCCCGAAAAUGGAGGGUUUUGCCCCAAAAUGGGGGGAUUUCAACCCAAAAAGGAGGAAUUUCACCCCAAAAAUGGGGGGAUUUCAACCCAAAAAUGAGGGAUUUUGCCCCAAAGUGGGGGGAUUUCAACCCAAAAAUGAGGGAUUUUGCCCCAAAAAUGGGGGAUUUUGCACCAAAAAUGGGGACUUUGGGCCCCCAAACUUGGAGGGAAGCCCCAAAAGUGGCGGAUUUCUCCCCAAAAUUUGUGGGUUUCUCCACCAAAAUGGGGGAUUUUACCCCAAAAUGUGGCGAGAAGCCCCAAAACUGGACGAUUUCAGCCCAAAACGGGGGGGCUUUUCCCUCACCCCAAAAAUGAGCAUUUUGGUUUUGACCAAAGCCCCAAAAUUGAGGGAUUUCACCCCAAAAUUGUGGGAUUUCACCCCAAAAUUGAGGGAAUUCACCCCAAAAUUGNGGGAUUUCACCCCAAAAUUGUGGGAUUUCACCCCAAAAUUGAGGGAAUUCACCCCAAAAUUGAGGGAUUUCACCCCAAAAUUUGACUCCUCCCAUUUGCCCAAAAAUGGAGGAAUUUGCCCCAUUUCCCCCCCCCCAACCCCUAAAAUCCUCAUUUUUGGGGGCAGCUGACCCAAAUCCGCCACUUUUCACACCAAAAAAACCCUCCAAAAAGCCCCAAACGGCCCCAAAUCGGGGCCCCCCCCCCCCCCCCCAGCUGAUCCCAAAGGUUUUUUAGGGCAUUUUCUCGGCUUUUAUUUCUUUUCCCACCCCAAAUUUUCCCAUUUUUGGGGUUUUUCGCCCCAUUAUUUAUUAUUUUUUUUUGUACCGUCGAGAAAAAUGCCAAAAAAAAGGAAAAAACGGCAAAAAAAAGGAGAAAAAAAGACGAAGAAACGGAACCAAAAAGCACCAAAAAAUGGAAGAAACCGGAGCAGAAAUGGACCAAAAAGGGGCAAAAUGGCCCCAAAAAUCAGCGCCCCCCCCCCCCCCCCAGCUCCCGCAGUGCCUGAAAACGCGGCCCCAAAAUCCCAAAAUCCAGCGGAUUCAACCCAAAAAAGGAGCCCGGGAAAAUACCUCAACGUGCCCCAAAAGCGCCAUUUUGUGCCCCAAAACGGGGGGAAACGACGACGAAACUCAUCAAAAAUGGGGAUUCUGCCCCAAAAUGGGGGGGAGGAAACGAGACCCCCCCAAAAUCCUCCCAAAAAUGGGGUUUUUUGACCCAAAAAGCCCCAAAAUUGCGGCUGCUUUUGGGGCCCAACAGGAAUGUAACAAUGGGCCCAAACCCUCGGCCCCGUUUUGGGCUCAGUUUGGCCGAUUUUGGACAAAAGGUGACGAAAAAUGGGAAUUUUGGGGUUUUUUGGGGGGGUUUUGUUUCGUUUUAAGGGAUUUUGGGGGAAAAUGGGACUUUUUGGGGUGGGUGGAAUUUGCUGUUUUUGUUCGUUGAGGAUGAGAAGAAAAGCACCAAAAUCGGAGGAUUUCAACCCAAAAAUGGAGCCGCCAAAUGGACCCGAAAGGGAGAAAAAUGAGAGCGAAAAAAUGGAGAAAAUGGACAAAAAGAGGAAAAACGCCCCAAAAAAAAACUGCAAAAAGGACCGAAGGGAAAAAAAAUGACCAAAAAUGAGCAAAAAGGAGC